rnacentral:rRNA from 1 species
GAUGAACGCUAGCGGCAGGCCUAACACAUGCAAGUCGAGGGGUAGCAGGAUUAAGCUUGCUUAAUUGCUGACGACCGGCGCACGGGUGCGUAACGCGUAUGCAACCUACCUUAUACUGGGGUAUAGCCCGGAGAAAUUCGGAUUAAUCCCCCAUAGUACUAAUGAAUCGCAUGGUUUAUUAGUUAAAGCAUUGCGGUAUAAGAUGGGCAUGCGUCCUAUUAGCUAGAUGGUGAGGUAACGGCUCACCAUGGCUACGAUAGGUAGGGGGCCUGAGGGGGUGGUCCCCCACACUGGUACUGAGAAACGGACCAGACUCCUACGGGAGGCAGCAGUGAGGAACAUUGGUCAAUGGGCGCAAGCCUGAACCAGCCAUGCCGCGUGCAGGAAGAAUGCCCUAUGGGUUGUAAACUGCUUUUAUUUGGGAAUAAACCUCUUUACGUGUAGAGAGCUGAAGGUACCAAAUGAAUUAGCACCGGCUAACUCCGUGCCAGCAGCAGCCGCCG